AUUCAGCUGAUGAGUCCCCACUAGAAGGAAACGCGUGUCCUGGAU
rfam:Schistosoma rodhaini strain Burundi genome assembly, scaffold: SROB_scaffold0003905